rnacentral:rRNA from 1 species
CAGCCGCCACGGUAAUGCGUAGGGUGCGAGCGUUAAUCGGAAUUACUGGGCGUAAAGCGUGCGCAGGCGGUUGUGUAAGACAGGUGUGAAAUCCCCGGGCUUAACCUGGGAACUGCGCUUGUGACUGCACAGCUAGAGUAUGGCAGAGGAGGGUGGAAUUCCACGUGUAGCAGUGAAAUGCGUAGAUAUGCGGAGGAACACCGAUGGCGAAAGCACUCUGCUGGGCCGACACUGACACUGAGAGACGAAAGCUAGGGGAGCAAAUGGGAUUAGAUACCCCAGUAGUCCCUGUCUCUUAUAC